rnacentral:rRNA from 1 species
CCUACGGGAGGCAGCAGUGAGGAAUAUUUGUCAAUGGGCGCUAGCCUGAACCAGCCAAGUAGCGUGAAGGAUGACUGCCCUAUGGUUUGUAAACUUCUUUAAUAUGGGAAUAAAGUGCAGUAUGUAUAUUGCUUUGCAUGUACCUUAUGAAUAACGAUCGGCUACAUCCGUGCCAGCAGCCGCGGUAAUACGGAGGAUCACAGCGUUUUCCGGAUUUAGUGGGUUUAAAGGGAGCGUAGGCGGGUUGUCAAGUCCGUUGUGAAAGUUUGCGGCUCAACCGUAAAAUUGCAGUUGAUACUGGCAUCCUUGAGUACAGUAGAGGUAGGCGGAAUUCGUGGUGUAGCGGUGAAAUGCGUAGAUAUCACGAAGAACACCGAUGGCGAAGGCAGCCUGCUGGACUGUAACUGACGCUGAGGCGCGAAAGUGUGGGUAGCAAACAGGAUUAGAUACCCUUGUAGUC